ensembl:snoRNA Gm23280 small nucleolar RNA SNORA17
GCUUGAACCUAGAAACAUUUCAGAUAUGGCUCCUGUGUCACAUGUGCAUGAGUAGGUGACAGAAAGGAAAGAGACUAUGUCUACAUAGCCUACCAUUUUUCUGACCUGUGAACAUCUGAAUGAUCAGUAGGCUAACAUU